AACCUAGCACACCUGCGGUGUGUACCUGCGGAGGGAUCAUUACCGAGUUUACAACUCCCAAACCCCUGUGAACAUACCUAUACGUUGCCUCGGCGGAUCAGCCCGCGCCCCGUAAAACGGGACGGCCCGCCCGAGGACCCCUAAACUCUGUUUUUAGUGGAACUUCUGAGUAAAACAAACAAAUAAAUCAAAACUUUUAACAACGGAUCU
rnacentral:misc_RNA from 1 species